UGAGGAAUAUUGGUCAAUGGGCGAGAGCCUGAACCAGCCAAGUCGCGUGAAGGAUGACGGCCCUACGGGUUGUAAACUUCUUUUGUCAGGGAGCAAUUGAGUCCACGUGUGGGCUUAGCGAGAGUACCUGAAGAAAAAGCAUCGGCUAACUCCGUGCCAGCAGCCGCGGUAAUACGGAGGAUGCGAGCGUUAUCCGGAUUUAUUGGGUUUAAAGGGUGCGUAGGCGGAAUAUCAAGUCAGCGGUAAAAAUUCGGGGCUCAACCCCGUCGUGCCGUUGAAACUGAUGUUCUUGAGUGGGCGAGA
rnacentral:rRNA from 1 species